GACGAACGCUGGCGGCGUGCUUAACACAUGCAAGUCGAGCGGAGCGGCGGACGGGUGAGUAAUGCCUAGGAAUCUGCCUGGUAGUGGGGGAUAAGGUCAGGAAACGGGCGCUAUUAUCGCAUACUAUCAGAUGAGCCUAGGUGGGAUUAGCUAGUGGGUGGGGUAAUGGCCUACCAAGGCGACGAUCCGUAACUGGUCUGAGAGGAUGAUCAGCCACACUGGAACUGAGACACGGUCCAGACUCCUACGGGAGGCAGCAGUGGGGAAUAUUGGACAAUGGGCGAAAGCCUGAUUCAGCCAUGCCGCGUGUGUGAAGAAGGUCUUCGGAUUGUAAAGCACUUUAAGUUGGGAGGCGUUACCAACAGAAUAAGCACCGGCUAACUUCGUGCCAGCAGCCGCGGUAAUUC
rnacentral:rRNA from 1 species